AGAGUUUGAUCAUGGCUCAGAAUCAACGCUGGCGGCGUGCCUAACACAUGCAAGUCGAACGAGAAAGUGGAGCAAUCCAUGAGUAAAGUGGCGACCGGGUGAGUAACACGUGACCAACCUACCUUCGAGUGGGGGAUAACUCCGGGAAACCGGAGCUAAUACCGCAUAACAUCUUUGGAAUGCAAAUUCCGUUGAUCAAAGGAGCAAUUCGCUUGAAGAGGGGGUCGCGGCUGAUUAGCUAGUUGGCGGGGUAAUGGCCCACCAAGGCGGAGAUCGGUAGCCGGCCUGAGAGGGCGCACGGCCACACUGGAACUGAAACACGGUCCAGACUCCUACGGGAGGCAGC
rnacentral:rRNA from 1 species